rnacentral:tRNA from 1 species
GGGGACAUCGUAAAAUGGUAUUACGCAGCCAUCGCAGGGCUGAGUUCCGGGUUCGAUUCCCGGUGUCUCCA